rnacentral:rRNA from 1 species
UUACGACUACAUAUCAGGCAUAUCAAUAAGCGGAGGAAAAGAAACUAACUAAGGAUUCCCUCAGUAACGGCGAGUGAAGCGGGAAGAGCUCAAAUUUGAAUCUUCAAGGUUCUACCUUGACGAAUUGUAGUUUAUAGAAGUGUUUUCUGUUAGUGGAGUGGCAAAAGUUCUUUGGAAUAGGACAUCAUAGAGGGUGAGAAUCCCGUAUUUGGUCAUUCCUCCUAGCGUUGUGAUACACUUUCAACGAGUCGGAUUGUUUGGGAAUGCAGUCCAAAAUGGGUGGUAAAUUUCAUCUAAAGCUAAAUAUUGGCGAGAGACCGAUAGCGAACAAGUACCGUGAGGGAAAGAUGAAAAGAACUUUGAAAAGAGAGUUAAACAGUACGUGAAAUUGUCAAAAGGGGAGCGUUUGACACCAGUGUUGUUUUUCCGAAAAUCAAUUACGAAUGUUUUAGUUUUUGAGGAGUUAUGACUUCAUCGGCUUGCUCCUUUCUUUACUGAAACUUUCUUAAUGCACUUUUCGGUUAACAAGUCAACAUCAAUUUCUUUUGUUGUAAAAGGGUAUGAGGAAGGUGGCUUUCUUUUCGGAGAAAGUGUUUAUAGCCUUGUGCCUCUGCAAUCGGAGAGAUUGAGGUCUGCAGCGUAGAUCCUUCGGGGUUAGAUACAUUUGUGCUAAGUUAUAGCUUUUCAUAGACAACUUGUUGACUAUGUUUAGUCUUGUAGCUUACUCGCUUACUGCUAUUUUACCUACGCUUAGGAUGUUGAAUCUGUGCGAGACUAC